rnacentral:ncRNA from 1 species
AAAGGAAUUGACAAGGAUCCACACAAGCGGUGGAGCAUGUGGUUUAAUAAAAAAAAACCAAUGAACCUUACCAAGGCUUGACAUGUCGUGAAUCCUCUUGAAAGAGAGGUGCCUUCGAGAACACAGACACAGGUGGUGCAUGGUUGUCGUCAGCUCAUGCUGUAAGGUGUUGGGUUAAGUUCAGCAACGAGCGUAACCCUCGUGUUUAGUUACCAACCGUUAAAGUUGGAAUCUUGAGCAGAUUGCCGGUGGAAGGUGAGGAUGACGUCAAGUCAUCAUGCCCCUUAUGUCCUGGGCAACAGACGUGCUACAAUGGACGGGACAAAGGGUCGUGAUCCCACGAGGGUGACCAAACUACAAAAACCCAUCCUCAGUUUGGAUUGUAGGCUGCAACUCACCUACAUACAGUGCCCGAAUUAGCUCUUGAGGACGCUCUUAUCCA